rnacentral:rRNA from 1 species
GACGAACGCUGGCGGCGUGCUUAACACAUGCAAGUCGAACGCUGAAGACCUGGCUUUUGUUGGGUUGGAUGAGUGGCGAACGGGUGAGUAACACGUGAGUAACCUGCCCUCUUCUUUGGGAUAACGCCCGGAAACGGGUGCUAAUACUGGAUACUCACUGAUCUUCGCAUGGGGGUUGGUGGAAAGGUUUGUUCUGGUGGGGGAUGGGCUCGCGGCCUAUCAGCUUGUUGGUGGGGUGAUGGCCUACCAAGGCUUUGACGGGUAGCCGGCCUGAGAGGGUGACCGGUCACAUUGGGACUGAGAUACGGCCCAGACUCCUACGGGAGGCAGCAGUGGGGAAUAUUGCACAAUGGGCGAAAGCCUGAUGCAGCGACGCCGCGUGAGGGAUGGAGGCCUUCGGGUUGUAAACCUCUUUCGCUCAUGGUCAAGCCGCAACUGUGGGUUGUGGUGAGGGUAGUGGGUAAAGAAGCGCCGGCUAACUACGUG